AUUUAAAUAGCUUAAUAAAGAGUAUAAUAUUGAAGAUAUUAGGGUGAUUUUUAAAUCUUUAAA
rnacentral:tRNA from 1 species